rnacentral:rRNA from 1 species
GGGCUGCAGUAUUUUGACUGUACAAAGGUAGCAUAAUCAAUAGUCUCUUAAUUGGUGACUUGUAUGAAAGAUUGGAUGAGAUAUAAGCUGUCUCUAAUUGAUUUAUAGAAAUUAAUUUUUUAGUAAAAAAGCUAAAAUAAUUUUAAAAGACGAGAAGACCCUAUAGAGUUUAAUAUUUCAUUUAAUAAUUAUUAAUAUAUAAUUUUAAAAAUUAAAAUUAAAUGAAUUAUUUUGUUGGGGUGAUAAAAAAAUUAAAUUAACUUUUUUUAAUUUUAAACAUUAAUUUAUGAUUAAAUGAUCCAUUUAUAGUGAUUAAAAGAAAAAAUUACCUUAGGGAUAACAGCGUAAUUUUUUUUUUUAGUUCAAAUAGGACAAAAAGUUUGCGACCUCGAUGUUGGAUUAA